rnacentral:rRNA from 1 species
UCUUUUCCUUGUGUGCCAGCCGCCGCGGUAAUACGGAGGAUGCGAGCGUUAUCCGGAUUUAUUGGGUUUAAAGGGAGCGCAGGCUGCGAGGCAAGUCAGCGGUCAAAUGUCGGGGCUCAACCCCGGCCUGCCGUUGAAACUGUCUUGCUAGAGUUCGAGUGAGGUAUGCGGAAUGCGUUGUGUAGCGGUGAAAUGCAUAGAUAUGACGCAGAACUCCGAUUGCGAAGGCAGCAUACCAACUCGCGACUGACGCUGAGGCUCGAAAGCGUGGGUAUCGAACAGG